CAGCAGCCGCGGGAAUACGAGGGGGGCAAGCGUUGUUCGGAAUUAUUGGGCGUAAAGGGCGCGUAGGCGGUUUGGCAAGUUUGGUGUGAAAUCUUCGGGCUCAACUCGAAGUCUGCAUCGAAAACUGCCGGGCUUGAGUAUGGGAGAGGUGAGUGGAAUUUCCGGUGUAGCGGUGAAAUGCGUAGAUAUCGGAAGGAACACCUGUGGCGAAAGCGGCUCACUGGACCAUUACUGACGCUGAGGCGCGAAAGCUAGGGGAGCAAACAGGAUUAGAUACCCCAGUAGUCCCUGUCUCUUAUAC
rnacentral:rRNA from 1 species